rnacentral:lncRNA from 1 species
UGGUCCUGCUGUUCUUCCUCACCUGCACCCAAUCAGCCAGCAUCACCUGCACUCAAUCAUGCAGCAUCACCUGCACCCAGUCAUCCAGCAUCACCUGCACACAAUCAGCAUCACCUGCAUCCAAUCAGCCAGCAUCACCUGCACCCAAGCAAUCAGCAUCACCUGCACCCAGUCAGCCAGCAUCACCUGCACCCAAUCACCUGCACCCAAUCAGCCAACAUCACCUGCACCCAGUCAGCCAGCAUCACCUGCACCCAAUCAGCUAGCAUCACCUGCACGCAGUCAAUCAGCAUCACCUGCACCCAAUCAGCAUCACCUGCACCCAUUCAGCCAGCAUCACCUGCACCCAAUCAGCAUCACCUGC